rnacentral:rRNA from 1 species
GACGUAGGGGGCAAGCGUUGUCCGGAAUCAUUGGGCGUAAAGCGCUCGUAGGUGGUUCGGUAAGUCUGCAAAGAAAGACCCGGGCUCAACUCGGGGAACGGUGUGGAUACUACCGAUCUUGAGGCAAUCAGAGGAUGAUGGAACUCCCGGUGUAGCGGUGAAAUGCGUAGAUAUCGGGAGGAACACCAGUGGCGAAGGCGAUCAUCUGGGGUUGUUCUGACACUGAGGAGCGAAAGCUAGGGGAGCAAACGGG